AUUGAACGCUGGCGGCAGGCCUAACACAUGCAAGUCGAGCGGUAGCACAGGGGAGCUUGCUCCCUGGGUGACGAGCGGCGGGCGGGUGAGUAAUGUCUGGGAAACUGCCUGAUGGAGGGGGAUAACUACUGGAAACGGUAACUAAUACCGCAUAACGUCGCAAGGCCAAAGAGGGGGACCUUCGGGCCUCUUGCCCGAAGAUGUGCCCAGAUGGGAUUAGCUAGUUGGCGGGGUAAAGGCCCACCAAGGCGCGGAUCCGUAGCUGGUCUGAGAGGAUGAUCCGCCACACUGGAACUGAGACACGGUCCAGACUCCUACGGGAGGCAGCAGUGGGGAAUAUUGGACAAUGGGCGCAAGCCUGAUCCAGCCAUACCGCGUGUGUGAAGAAGGCCUUCGGGUUGUAAAGCCCUUUUGUUGGGAAAGAAAAGCAGCAGGUUAAUACCCCGCUGUUUUGACGGUACCCAAAGAAUAAGCACCGGCUAACUUCGUG
rnacentral:rRNA from 1 species